rnacentral:rRNA from 1 species
UACGAAGGGUGCAAACGUUGCUCGGAAUUAUUGGGCGUAAGGCGCACGUAGGCGGCGCAGUAAGUCCCAUGUGAAAGCCCACGGCUUAACCGUGGAAGUGCAUGGGAAACUACUGUGCUUGAGUACUUAAGAGGAUCGCGGAAUUCCCGGUGAGAGGUGAAAUUCGUAGAUAUCGGGAGGAACACCGGUGGCGAAGGCGGGACUCUGGGCCGAUACUGACGCUGAGGAGCGAAAGCGUGGGGAGCAAACAGG